rnacentral:rRNA from 1 species
GAUGAACGCUGGCGGCGUGCUUAACACAUGCAAGUCGAACGAAAAGGCCCUGCUUUUGUGGGGCGGUCGUGUGCCGAACGGGUGAGUAACACUUGAGUAACCUGCACUUGACUUUCGGAUAUCUUUACGAGAAUCGGGCACAUACCGCAUAGGAGCUCCUGAUGCAUGGUGGGCGUUGGAAAGAUUGGGCGUUUUGGGAUGGACUCGCUGCUUAUCAGCUUCGUGGUGAGGUAGUGGCUUACCCAGCCUUUGACGGGUAGCCGGCCUGAGAGGGUGACCGGCCACAUUGGGCCUGAGAUACGGCCCAGAAUCCUACGGGAGGCAGCAGUGGGGAAUAUUGCACAAUGGGCGGAAGCCUGAUGCAGAAGCGACGCGUGCGGGAUGACGGCCUUCGGGUGGUGAACCGCUUUGGCAUGUGACGAACCGUGCGUGACGGUAAUGGGUAAGAAAGCACCGGCUAACUACGUG